CCUACGGGGGGCAGCAGUGGGGAAUAUUGCACAAUGGGGGAAACCCUGAUGCAGCGACGCCGCGUGAGUGAAGAAGUAUUUCGGUACGUAAAGCUCUAUCAGCAGGGAAGAAAAUGACGGUACCUGACUAAGAAGCCCCGGCUAACUACGUGCCAGCAGCCGCGGUAAUACGUAGGGGGCAAGCGUUAUCCGGAUUUACUGGGUGUAAAGGGAGCGUAGACGGCAGCGCAAGUCUGGAGUGAAAUCCCAUGGCUUAACCAUGGAACUGCUUUGGAAACUGUGCAGCUAGAGUGCAGAAGAGGUAAGCGGAAUUCCUAGUGUAGCGGUGAAAUGCGUAGAUAUUAGGAGGAACACCAGUGGCGAAGGCGGCUUACUGGACUGUAACUGACGUUGAGGCUCGAAAGCGUGGGGAGCAAACAGGAUUAGAUACCCCGGUAGUC
rnacentral:rRNA from 1 species